rnacentral:rRNA from 1 species
UACGGAGGGGGCUAGCGUUGUUCGGAAUUACUGGGCGUAAAGCGCACGUAGGCGGCUUUGUAAGUUAGAGGUGAAAGCCCGGGGCUCAACUCCGGAAUUGCCUUUAAGACUGCAUCGCUAGAAUUGUGGAGAGGUAAGUGGAAUUCCGAGUGUAGAGGUGAAAUUCGUAGAUAUUCGGAAGAACACCAGUGGCGAAGGCGGCUAUCUGGACGGUUUCUGACACUAAGACUCGAAAGCGUGGGGAGCAAACAGG